ensembl:lncRNA
AGACAGACAGACAGACAGGUUUGAUCUCUUUAUGGUCCGUGUUUCCGGCUGUUCGGAGCGUGUCCUGCAGGAGGCGCCGCUGCUCCAGGCUCGCGCGCCGGAAGUGAGUUUGAGUUGAGUUGAGUUUGCAGAAGUUCUGACUCACUGGAGUUCAGAAAGGCAUUAGAUUCUCCCUCCUGCACUUUAAACUCUCCCGCAGCACAUGCAGAAAUACAGCAACGAGCACGUGUUGUACUGACGGGUAUAUCACGAUACUGAAGACGAGCACAGGUGAGCAGACACUACAGAGAUGCGCUUGUAGACGUGAGGAACUCCUGACCCCGGGAUGACCCCUGACCCCACGUGACCUGAGUAGGUCACCGUAGCCACCAGAUCCAGUCUGUAUCCAGACCAGAUGGUGGAUCAGCACCUAGAAAGGACCUCUACAGCCCUGAAAGACAGCGGAGACCAGGACUAGAGCCCCAGAGACAGAUCCCCUGUAAAGACCUUGUCUCAGACGACCACCGGGACAAGACCACAGGAAACAGAUGAUUCUUCUGCACAAUCUGACUUUGCUGCAGCCUGGAAUUGAACUGCUGGUUUCGUCUGGUCAGAGGAGAACUGACCCCCGACUGAGCCUGGUUUCUCCCA